rnacentral:rRNA from 1 species
AAAUUGAAGAGUUUGAUCAUGGCUCAGAUUGAAUGCUGGCGGCAGGCCUAACACAUGCAAGUCGAACGGUAACAGGAAACAGCUUGCUGUUUCGCUGACGAGUGGCGGACGGGUGAGUAAUGUCUGGGAAACUGCCUGAUGGAGGGGGAUAACUACUGGAAACGGUAGCUAAUACCGCAUAACGUCGCAAGACCAAAGAGGGGGACCUUCGGGCCUCUUGCCAUCGGAUGUGCCCAGAUGGGAUUAGCUAGUAGGUGGGGUAACGGCUCACCUAGGCGACGAUCCCUAGCUGGUCUGAGAGGAUGACCAGCCACACUGGAACUGAGACACGGUCCAGACUCCUACGGGAGGCAGCAGUGGGGAAUAUUGCAC